GAACUCUGUGGCGUAAUUGGUAGCGUUGCAGGUCAGCGGGGAAACCCGUACCGGAGAGGCGAUGCCGGGGGUGCAGGUUCGAGUCCUAUCAGAGUUCA
rnacentral:tRNA from 1 species